GGCCAGAUAGCUCAGUUGGUAGAGCGGAGGACUGAAAAUCCUUGUGUCCCUGGUUCGAUUCCUGGUCUGGCCACCA
rnacentral:tRNA from 3 species